AAGGCGGCUUCGGCUGUCACUUAUGGAUGGACCCGCGUCGCAUAGCUAGUUGGUGAGGUAACGGCUCACCAAGGCGACGAUGCGUAGCCACCUGAGAGGGUGAUCGGCCACACUGGGACUGAGACACGGCCCAGACUCCUACGGGAGGCAGCAGUAGGGAAUCUUCCGCAAUGGACGAAAGUCUGACGGAGCAACGCCGCGUGAGUGAUGAAGGCUUUCGGGUCGUAAAACUCUGUUGUUAGGGAAGAACAAGUGCUAGUUGAAUAAGCUGGCACCUUGACGGUACCUAACCAGAAAGCCACGGCUAACUACGUGCCAGCAGCCGCGGUAAUACGUAGGUGGCAAGCGUUAUCCGGAAUUAUUGGGCGUAAAGCGCG
rnacentral:rRNA from 2 species